rnacentral:rRNA from 1 species
UACGUAGGGUGCGAGCGUUAAUCGGAAUUACUGGGCGUAAAGCGUGCGCAGGCGGUUUUGUAAGCCAGAUAUGAAAGCCCCGGGCUUAACCUGGGAAUGGCAUUUGGGACUGCAAGGCUUGAGUGCGGCAGAGGAGACUGGAAUUCCCGGUGUAGCAGUGAAAUGCGUAGAUAUCGGGAGGAAUACCGAUGGCGAAGGCAGGUCUCUGGGCUGACACUGACGCUCAUGCACGAAAGCGUGGGGAGCAAACAGG